GGGGGAGUAGACAUACUCAAUUCCAGUCUUUUUUAUCAGGGAUGUUUAGAAAUUAUCCAUUUCAUUAAAAUCACUUCCCCACUUCUUAUAGGAUUAUACUCACAUUUGGGGAAUAGAAUAUUCUUGAUUGUAAGCCUUUAUCUUUUGCAAUGUUGUAUUCUAUGUUCUCCUCUCCUUUUUAAUUAUGGCUACCAAGUCUUUUGUAAUCCUGACUGUGCUUUUUGGGGGCAGUAGUUGAACCCUUUCUUAUUUGCUGCUUGCAGUAUUUUUUCUUUGUUUUGGAAGUUCUGAAUUUUUGUUCUAAUAUUCUUGAGGGUUUCCAUUUUGGGUGGUGAACAGAGUUUUCUUUCUGGUUUUUUUUUUUACUUUACCUAAAAUAUAUGGGCAAUUUUCAUUUAGGAUUUCUUGCUUUUUUGUUAUUUUCUGAAUUUCAGUCAUCUGGUGAUUCUUAGAUGAUUUCUCCUUUAAUUAUUUCCCAGGUCAGUUCUUUUUUUUAUUUUUGGGUCAGUUUUUUAAGAAAUAUAUACCUUAAAUUUCCUUUUAUUAAAAAAUCAGUCUUUAGCUUUGCUUUUUUGUUGUUGUCAUGGUCUCAUGGAGACAUUGUUUUCUGUCAGUCUCUUCUAAUUUUCAGAGUUCAAUUCUUGACUAAGGUUUACUAUUCUCUGUUCUAAGGGAAUAAUUCUCCUUGCUCUUUUUUCCUUUCUAGUGUUAUUAUUUUUUUUCUCAUUUUGUUUCUCCCAGGUACUCUUGUAGUCCUUAUGGUCAGGCAUUCUUUUCUUGGAGGUUCUUUUUGGACUUGUGGAGUUCUCUCUUCUGGUUUACCAUUUGAGCUUCUCUCAGUGUGAAGUAUUUCUUUACUAUAUUCAGAAUGUUCUUUUUUUUACUCCUAUCUCUAGCCUUAUUUUCUAGAUUACAAAUUUGUGUUGGGUCAACUCUGCUCCUGUAUUCUUGAAGAUGCGGUUUAAUAUUCAGUUGUUAUCUAAGACCCAAGAGGCUUCACCUUCUGUAGGAAUUUUCUGUCCUUAUCUCCUACUGUGAUUCAGGUCCAGGCACCUUGGAUGUUGGUAGACAACCUAGAUUCCGGGUCAAGUGUGGUUGCCUGAAUGUCAGCUUGACCUUGUCUCUUAUUGUGGUUGAAGAUAGAGCCCCUGUGUCACCCUACAAUGGACCUCAGCAUUGGUCUGGUCCUGUUUUCUGUUAUGGAUGAAAAUAAGACCUCUUGAUCACUUUGUGCCAUGUUAGGUCUUUCUCUUGCAGGAAUGCUUUCGUUGGGUUGGCUCUCAUCCUCUUCUACCCUAGCUUGUCUCUUCUUCACACUUCUGCAGACUCCUGAAAGUAUCAUUGUACAGUCCUGGACAGGAUUUUCUAGGUUGUUGUUCAUUGUUCUAUCUCGUAAAUUUUUAGAGCUUCUGCAUUUUGGCAGACCAUAAGUUUAGGUCAACAUAUUACACAGUAUGGGAUGUUUCUGGGGGAUCUGGACUCUUUUAAGUUUUGACAUUGCCAUUUCCCCCACAAUUCUCCAGGAAACAUGUUUUACCUGUCAUGAUCAGCACUUUAUUUGAAAUUUUGCAUACUAGAGAGUUGUCUGAGGCACUGAGAUGUUAAGUUUAUUGCCCAAAGUCACCUAGCCAGUUUGUGUCAUAGGCAAAACUUGAAGCUGGUACUCUAACACCAUACUGCCCCUCAACAUGGAGGAAACAAUUCACAUAAUUAAUUGCACCUAAAUUAAUCAGUUACCUCAUAGUGGAUUAUUUUUAUAAUAGGUAUAGAAAAUCUUUCAUAAAAUAUAAACAAAUGUUCCUUUCGGCUAAAAAAAGUCUAUAAAACAAGCUUAGAAAGACUAUUUAAAAUAUUAUCGAGGUAUACUAUUUAAAACUAAGAGGUAACAUUAUUAGUAGCAGAAAAACAAUAAAAGUUUUCUUAAUAAGUUUAGUAAUGUAAUGAGAUCUCCAUUGUCCUCUAUUAUUAGACAUACUUCUAGAAAUGCUAGCAGUGGCCAUGAAACAAGAGAGAAAGAAAUGUAAGUAUUAACAAAAGCAGAGAGAAGACAAAAUUGACUCCAUUUUACAGUAACAUGAUGGGCUUUCCUAAAAAUCCCAGAGAAUCAGCAAAGAAAAACUAACUGAGAUAAUUAGUAGUUUCAGUCAAGUAGCAGGAUAUAAAAUAAAUUCUCAAAAAUCAGCAAUAUUAAUGAAUAGCAAAAACAACAUCCAGGAAGAAAUGUGAUAAAGAGCCAUAUCAUUCAAAAUAACUGUAAAAUGCACCAAAUAUGUGGUCAUCAAUUCACCAAGGCAUACUGAAGACUUAUAGAGAUGCAAUUAUAAACUCUUUAAAGAAAUACAUUUAAUUGGAAGUAUAGUCAUUGUUUAUGACUAGCUUUUCAAAUGUAAUAUUAAUGAUAGUACUAAAAUUAAUUUAUAAGAUUUAGAACUAUACAAAUGAAACUACUAAAGGGAUAACUUAUGAAGCUGGACAAAAUAACAACAUUCAGCUGGAAAUUAAAUGAUCAAGUUAAUAAAAAAAAAGUAGGGAUUAAAGAGAACUGUAUGGAAGAUCCUGUGCUAAGUACUAGAGAUUCAAGGAGAGGCAAAAGACAAUUCUUUCUCACAAAGAAUUUACAGUUUAAUGGGGAAGACAACAUGCAAACAAAUAUCUACAAAGCAACCUAUAUGCAGGAUAAAUAGGGAAUUAUUAAACUAAUUAAGCACACUAGAAUUAAGAGGUAGGGAAGAUUUCUUAUAAAAGAUGGGAUUUCAGUUGGAUUUUAAAGGAAGCUAGAGAAAUUGGUAGGUGGAACAGAGGAAGGAGAUUAUUCCAGGCAUUGGGACAGCCAGAGAAAAUUGCCUGAAGUCAAGAGAUGAAGUGUCUUGUUUAUGGAACAGCUAGAAGGCCAAGUCAUUAGGUUGGAGAGUUUGUGGCAGGAAAUAAGGUGUGAGAAUAUUGGAAAGGUGGAAGGCGUUGAUUAUGUUUGUCUUUGAAUGACAAAUAGGGCAUUUUAUAUUUGAUUCUGGAGAGGAUAGAGAAUCACUAGAGUUUGAGUAGGGGAAUGACUUGGUAAGACACAAAUGUUAGGAAAAUGACUUUAGUAGAUGAAUGGAAGGUGGAUUGGAGAGAGCUUUGAGGAAGAUAGACCCGCCAACAUGCUAUUGCAAUAGUUUGAACCUAAAGUGAUGAGCAUCAAAACCAGGCUGGUGGCAAUGUCAAAGGAGAGAACGGGGCAUCUAUGAGAGAUAGUGCAGGGGUGGUCAUUGGCAAUAAUUUGAAUAGGAGGGUGAGAUAUGGUGAGGAGUUUAGUAUAACUCUUCAGUGUGAGCUUACAGGGCUGAGAGGAGGAUGUCCUGCUCUACAAUAAUAGGGAAGGUUGGAAGGGAGAGGUUUAGGGGGAAAAAAAAGAUAAUUCAUUCUCUUUUGACAUGUUUAGUUUUAGAUGUCUACUAGACUUUCAGGUGGAGAUAUCUGAAAGGCAGCUGGAGAAGUAAGAUUGAAGACCAGCAGAGAGAUAAGGGCAGAUUUAAGAAUCAUCAUUAUAGAGACAGCAAUUUAAUCUGUGGGAGCUGAUAAAGUGAUGUAGUAUAGAGGGAGAAGAAAAAAGAACCCAGGCCAGAACUCUGAGGGACAUCUACCAUUAACGUGCUGGAAGUUCAAGUGAAGGGGACAGAGGAGAGGUCAGAUGGGUAGGAAAAAACUAGAAGAGAGUGGUGACCUGGCAACCUAGAGAGAAGCAAAUUUCAAGGAGUGAAGGAUGGUUGAGUGCCAAAGAAUUCAGAGAAGUCAAGAGAAUGAAGAUUCAGAAAAGGCCACGAGAUUUGACAUUAGUAACAUUGGAGAGAACAGUUUCAGUGGAACGAUAAAGUUGGUAAUUGCAUGGUAAGGGGAAUAAGAAGAGAAUGAGAAGAGAGAAAGUAGUAGGACCUAUUUUUUUGUUUUUUGGACAGUCUUUUCAAGAAAGUUAAUUGCAAAGGGCAUCGGAGAGAGACAGAGGGCGGCAGGGAUUAUAGGGAUGGAAGGAUAAAAUGUGUUUGUUUUUUUUUUUUUUCCAGGAUGGGAUGAGACACGAGUAUGUUUGCGGGUGAUAGGGAAGGAGCCAGUAGAGAGGGAGAGACUGAAAAUAAGUGACAGCGCAGAGAUGGCGGAGGGGACGGUCUAUUUGAGGAGACAGAAAGGAACGGAAUUGCUGGAACAAGUAUAGGAGUUGUCCUUGGUAAGGAGGAAACCAUUUUAUCCUGUGAAGUAAGCGUGAAGGAGACAGCGGGAGAAGACAUCUGGGUGACCGAUGAGGAAGAGGAAGAAAGGGGAGAUUGUGGUGAAUGAUCGCCUUUUCCCCGUAAAAUAGGAAGCCAGGUUUCCACUGGGAAGGCAGGGGGAGAGGGUGUCGCGAGAAGGUUGGGAAGGGAUGGAAAGUUUGGAAAAGCUACCAUGGAGAGAGAGAUACUAAGUUGAUAAGGGUGGGGUAGUGGGUAGUACAAUUGUCUAGCGUCCUGAGGACCCAUUUGAAGCUGUGAAAGGAAGCGAGCUGCGGUAAGGGUAGGGCUCUCUAUUGCUGUUUAUUUCGAUUUUUUGAAUUUGUUCAUUUCAUAUUUUAUAGAUGUUUAUCCAUUUUGUCUAUAACAGCUGGGGAUUUGGGUUUGGGGGUGCCUAUGGAUAACAUGAACCUCAGAGAGAUCAUUGAGCGAUGGAGGUGGGGGAGAGCCGGAAGUGGCAAUGGAGGACAAGGAGGAGUCCAACUCCCCUGGCUUGACCACGAAGCUGAGGAGAAUGAGUGAAGGGACAGCCUGGAGUGGAGUGGAAAUGGUGGCCGGGGAAGCUACGCCGUGGGGAAAAGAGCCGGGUUUCAGUAAUAGUUUAUAGUCAGAAGGAGUGGAAGAGGAAAAGAAUGAGGAGGGAGGAACGUUUGUUGUCUACGAAGCACACAUUCCAGAGGGCACGAUGGAGGGCUGGGUAAUAUUUGGCUGAAAGAUCCGGCUGAGAGUUGAAGAGGAUGGAGGUGAGGUGGGUGGGAAUGGGGUCUGGAAGGUGAUCUACAGGGGUUAUUACUGCUGCGUAAAGACUAGCAUCUACCUACCCAUCGCGGAUGUGGUAGCUCACCACCAGCGAGAGGUUAGAGAUUCAUCACAAUUCCUAGAGGAACAUCAGAAGCACUUGCAUUCCAGAACUUUUCUCCCCCAUUUUGGAACCCAGAUUGCUAUGCUAUAUCUUUCAAGAAACUCCUCUACUUAGAUAUUUACAGUGGAACUAUCAUAUUUGGACCCUAACAUUACAGUCUGAAUGAAGAAGUGGAAAUCACACUAAAGACUGAAAAAGAGUUGAACUUGACCACACUAUUUCGAAUCAAACAGCAAGCAUUUAUUGAGUUUUUAUUAAGCACCAAUCUAAGGCCAAAUUAAAAGGGGAAAGAGGUCCAGA